GCGAGCUUCAGGCUGAAAAGUGCCUAAGUUCCACACUAUGUUUUAAGCUGCAGACCCUUAAAGUCCGAAGCGAACACAUUUUUUAUUCCACGAAUAAAUCA
rnacentral:misc_RNA from 1 species